GCAACCUGGUUGAUCCUGCCAGUAGUCAUAUGCUUGUCUCAAAGAUUAAGCCAUGCAUGUCUAAGUGUAAAUAAGUCUAUACUGUGAAACUGCGAAUGGCUCAUUAAAUCAGUUAUCGUUUAUUUGAUGAUCUCUUACUACUUGGAUAACCGUAGUAAUUCUAGAGCUAAUACAUGCACAAAAUCCCGACUUAC
rnacentral:rRNA from 1 species